AGAGUUUGAUCCUGGCUCAGGAUGAACGCUAGCGACAGGCUUAACACAUGCAAGUCGAGGGGCAGCGGGUAGAUGAGCUUGCUCAUUUAUGCCGGCGACCGGCGCACGGGUGAGUAACACGUAUGCAACCUGCCCGUCUCAGGGGGAUAAUCGUCGGAAACGGCGUCUAAUACCCCGUAUGAAGUUGGACGGCAUCGUCUGGUUUUGAAAGAAUAUCGGAGACGGAUGGGCAUGCGGCGCAUUAGCUGGUUGGCGGGGUAACGGCCCACCAAGGCGACGAUGCGUAGGGGUUCUGAGAGGAAGGUCCCCCACACUGGUACUGAGACACGGACCAGACUCCUACGGGAGGCAGCAGUGAGGAAUAUUGGUCAAUGGGCGAGAGCCUGAACCAGCCAAGUCGCGUGAGGGAGUACUGCCCUAUGGGUUGUAAACCUCUUUUGUCGGGGAGCAAAAGCCGGACGUGUCCGUCUGUGAGAGUACCCGAAGAAAAAGCAUCGGCUAACUCCGUGCCAGCAGCCGCGGUAAUACGGAGGAUGCGAGCGUUAUCCGGAUUUAUUGGGUUUAAAGGGUGCGCAGGCGGAUUUUUAAGUCAGCGGUCAAAUCGUGGGGCUCAACCCCAUCCAGCCGUUGAAACUGGGGAUCUAGAGUGUGCGAGAGGUAUGCGGAAUGCGUGGUGUAGCGGUGAAAUGCAUAGAUAUCACGCAGAACCCCGAUUGCGAAGGCAGCAUACCGGUGCACAACUGACGCUCGGGCACGAAAGCGUGGGUAUCGAACAGGAUUAGAUACCCUGGUAGUCCACGCAGUAAACGAUGAAUGCUACCUGUUUGGCCAGAUUGAUGGCUGAGCGGGACAGCGAAAGCGUUAAGCAUUCCACCUGGGGAGUACGCCGGCAACGGUGAAACUCAAAGGAAUUGAC
rnacentral:rRNA from 1 species